GGCGACAAUACUUCAGAGAAUCAUUUCUAUAGUAGUCGACCUUCCUCUUGGUUCCCCAAAGGAGCUACAGAGUCCACCCUGGUUGAUGAAUGAUAUCCUCAAUGCCUUAGAGUGAAAUUCUCUUGGUGGCUUCCGCUCUGCUUUGACUCUCUUUCGGGAGGGCUCAAGGUGGCGGCUCAGUGGCGGCUUCGGCUGGGCGCUGGCUGUAUAGGAAGUGAUGAUGAUCUCGUCCCUGUCACAUGGUCUGCUUUCGAGCGCAUUGGCAGGGUGGGCAUUGAUGGACGUCUGACAGGA
rnacentral:snoRNA from 1 species